rnacentral:rRNA from 1 species
CACCGGCGGCUCGAGUGGUGGCCACUUUUAUUGGGUCUAAAGCGUCCGGAGCCGGCUUGGCAAGUCCCCUGGGAAAUCUGGCGGCUUAACCGUCAGGCGUCCAGAGGAUACUGCCAGGCUUGGGACCGGGAGAGGUGAGAGGUACCUCAGGGGUAGGGGUGAAAUCUUGUGAUCCUUGAGGGACCACCAGUGGCGAAGGCGUCUCACUAGAACGGGUCCGACGGUCAGGGACGAAAGCUGGGGGCACGAACCGG